ensembl:snRNA U5 U5 spliceosomal RNA
AUACUCUGGUUUCUCUUCAGAAGGUAUAAAUCUUUCACCUUUUACUAAAGAUUUCCAUGGAGAGGAACAAUUCUGAGUCUUACCCCAAUUUUUUGAGGCCUCGCAUCUGCAGGAA